rnacentral:misc_RNA from 1 species
AAGUCGUAACAAGGUUUCCGUAGGUGAACCUGCGGAAGGAUCAUUAUUGUAGGGACUCCGGUCCCCUCAAGAUGCAACCCGUGCCUUUUUUGUAGCCCGUAACGUUUCCUCGGCAGCCCCGCUGCCAGCGAGGACCCCCCCAAACCAAACCUGCAAUCUCAGUGAAAAAUUCAGAAACCCCCCAAAAUUUAAAACUUUCAACAAUGGAUCUCUUGGCUCUG